GACGAACGCUGGCGGCGUGCUUAACACAUGCAAGUCGAGCGGUAAGGCCCUUUCGGGGGUACACGAGCGGCGAACGGGUGAGUAACACGUGGGUGACCUGCCCUCAGCUCUGGGAUAAGCCUGGGAAACCGGGUCUAAUACUGGAUAUGACUCCAUGACGCAUGUUGUGGGGUGGAAAGCCUUGUGCGGCUGAGGAUGGGCCCGCGGCCUAUCAGCUUGUUGGUGGGGUGANGGCCUACCAAGGCGACGACGGGUAGCCGGCCUGAGAGGGCGACCGGCCACACUGGGACUGAGACACGGCCCAGACUCCUACGGGAGGCAGCAGUGGGGAAUCUUGCGCAAUGGGCGAAAGCCUGAUCCAGCGAUGCCGCGUGUGUGAA
rnacentral:rRNA from 1 species